GCCAGAGUGGUGUAGUAGUCUGAGCAUUGGACUAUGACUCCGGCAACCAGGGUUCAAAUCCCCACUUGGCCA